CCUAAGCUGAGCCGGUUAGGUCUCGUGGCGACAGGAACCCGGUGCGACUCCGGGGCGGUUCCGCCACUGUGAGGGUCCCGGCCACGCCCGGGCCCGAGCCAGACACUGGUCACGGGGCAUCCGACCGC
rnacentral:ncRNA from 2 species